GAACGCGGAAUGCUUGGAAACUGGCACGUUCCGUGUGGAGUAGGGGAAAAGCUGGAGAUAACUUCAAAUGCUUACCUAUUACUAA
rnacentral:ncRNA from 1 species